UCGGAGUCUGCAACCCGACUCCGUGAAGCUGGAUUCGCUAGUAAUCGCGCAUCAGCCAUGGCGCGGUGAAUACGUUCCCGGGCCUUGUACACACCGCCCGUCAAGCCAUGGAAGCCGGGGGCGCUUGAAGUGCGUUGCCGCAAGGCGCGCCCUAGAGCGAAGCCGGUGACUGGGGCUAAGUCGUAACAAGGUAGC
rnacentral:rRNA from 1 species